AAAAUCAAAAUCAAUGUAGUCUGUCCGCUCGCUCGGUUUGCUCGGAUUGCCCACGCCCUAGUCCACGCUCAUACCUUCGAGCCCGAGCGGCACAAAUUUGCGCCUCCAGUCCGGUCACUGCCUCGUUCUUGUUUUUCUCUUUCCCUCUCUCGAUCUCCCUCAUUAUUAUAGGCCGCUUUCUGUCUUUAUUUUUCACCUGUGCUCGCAAACAAAAAAUCAACCGGUGAAUAAAAAUUAACAAUCGAAAAAAAAUGUGACCCAGUGGACUUUAUUUAUACCCAAAGAAAAUAAUAAUAAUAAACAAAAAUAAACAAAAAAAAAAAAAUUAUAAAAAAAACCACCCCCAAGAGAACGAAUUCGAGAGCAAAAGAAAGAGAAACAAAAAAAAUUAUUACUGCGAAGAAACAAUUGUUUAUCGUGAUGAAAUCAUUCUUCGUGCCAGUUCGACUCUCCCUUGAGAUUAACCUCUGCGUCGAGAGAGAGAGAUGAACGUCUAAAACACAAGCUGAAAGGACUAUGCACUUUUUCUAGAGGGAUGUCAACGUUGCCCUUUCGGCGUAAAAUGUAUGCAGCUGUUACAACUCAAAUGCACCUACACGAGUAUCAGACUUUAAAAUGUGGAAUUAUGGAGCUGCAAAAUUACUGAAAUCGAUGCUCCUGUCGACAAGAACAAACGUCGUGGGAUGUAGUUGACGUUGCUCUUUUUUUUUUUUUAAGAGCGAGAGAACGACAGUAAGGCAACUGGAGGGGUUUGUUGAGGCUGAGGCUGAGGCGGAGGAGGAAGACGAGGACGAGG